UACGGGGGGGGCAAGCGUUGUUCGGAAUUACUGGGCGUAAAGGGCUCGUAGGUGGCCAACUAAGUCAGACGUGAAAUCCCUCGGCUUAACCGGGGAACUGCGUCUGAUACUGGAUGGCUUGAGUUUGGGAGAGGGACGCGGAAUUCCAGGUGUAGCGGUGAAAUGCGUAGAUAUCUGGAGGAACACCGGUGGCGAAGGCGGCAUCCUGGACCGGUAUUGACGCUGAGGCGCGAAAGCUAGGGGAGCAAACGGG
rnacentral:rRNA from 1 species